rnacentral:pre_miRNA from 1 species
UCAAUGAUUAGAUUGAGAAUGGUAAUGUUUUAGUGUCAAUGAUUACACUCAUCAUUGACACUAAAACAUUACCGUUCUAAAUCUAAUCAUA